rnacentral:lncRNA from 1 species
UAUGAUUCUGUGAUUCCACAAUUCCACACAGAACAGGGCAGGACAAGUACCUCUGCCCUCUGUAGCCACCCCCUGCAGGACCCAGACCUCUUGAAGGAGUCAGGGUGAUCUCUUGCUGGUAGAAGGCCAGCUCUGACCACAGAACUGUGAGCUGGAAAAGGACAUGCUUGUUUUUCAGAUGAUUCUGUGGGAGCUUCUCCUGAGGAAUGCAUUUCUGAACAAAAAAGUGGUUUUACUGAAUUAAUAAUAGAUGGGCUCAAGCUGCAGGAGUUGAAGCUUGAUUUCUACAUGGAUACAGACUCAGGUUUGGUGCAUGUCUAAAGGGUCUUGUUAUCACAGUAUCAGACCACUUCCUAUGCUAGAAUAUUGUGAUCCUUAUGACAUCCCUGCAGCAGGACGUGGAGACCUCAGGCACCAGGAGCAGAGUGAGUGCCCCAUCCCUGGAGGUGCCCAAGGCCAGGUUGG